rnacentral:rRNA from 1 species
GAUUAAGUUAUUAAGGGCGCACGGUGGAUGCCUUGGCACUAGAAGCCGAUGAAGGACGUUACUAACGACGAUAUGCUUUGGGGAGCUGUAAGUAAGCUUUGAUCCAGAGAUUUCCGAAUGGGGAAACCCAGCAUGAGUUAUGUCAUGUUAUCGAUAUGUGAAUACAUAGCAUAUCAGAAGGCACACCCGGAGAACUGAAACAUCUUAGUACCCGGAGGAAGAAAAAGAAAAUUCGAUUCCCUUAGUAGCGGCGAGCGAAACGGGAAGAGCCCAAACCAACAAGCUUGCUUGUUGGGGUUGUAGGACACUCUAUACGGAGUUACAAAGGACGACAUUAGACGAAUCAUCUGGAAAGAUGAAUCAAAGAAGGUAAUAAUCCUGUAGUCGAAAAUGUUGUCUCUCUUGAGUGGAUCCUGAGUACGACGGAGCACGUGAAAUUCCGUCGGAAUCUGGGAGGACCAUCUCCUAAGGCUAAAUACUCUCUAGUGACCGAUAGUGAACCAGUACCGUGAGGGAAAGGUGAAAAGCACCCCGGAAGGGGAGUGAAAUAGAACCUGAAACCGUGUGCUUACAAGUAGUCAGAGCCCGUUAAUGGGUGAUGGCGUGCCUUUUGUAGAAUGAACCGGCGAGUUACGAUUUGAUGCAAGGUUAAGCAGUAAAUGUGGAGCCGUAGCGAAAGCGAGUCUGAAUAGGGCGUUUAGUAUUUGGUCGUAGACCCGAAACCAGGUGAUCUACCCUUGGUCAGGUUGAAGUUCAGGUAACACUGAAUGGAGGACCGAACCGACUUACGUUGAAAAGUGAGCGGAUGAACUGAGGGUAGCGGAGAAAUUCCAAUCGAACCUGGAGAUAGCUGGUUCUCUCCGAAAUAGCUUUAGGGCUAGCCUCAAGUGAUGAUUAUUGGAGGUAGAGCACUGUUUGGACGAGGGGCCCCUCUCGGGUUACCGAAUUCAGACAAACUCCGAAUGCCAAUUAAUUUAACUUGGGAGUCAGAACAUGGGUGAUAAGGUCCGUGUUCGAAAGGGAAACAGCCCAGACCACCAGCUAAGGUCCCAAAAUAUAUGUUAAGUGGAAAAGGAUGUGGCGUUGCCCAGACAACUAGGAUGUUGGCUUAGAAGCAGCCAUCAUUUAAAGAGUGCGUAAUAGCUCACUAGUCGAGUGACACUGCGCCGAAAAUGUACCGGGGCUAAACAUAUUACCGAAGCUGUGGAUUGUCCUUUGGACAAUGGUAGGAGAGCGUUCUAAGGGCGUUGAAGCAUGAUCGUAAGGACAUGUGGAGCGCUUAGAAGUGAGAAUGCCGGUGUGAGUAGCGAAAGACGGGUGAGAAUCCCGUCCACCGAUUGACUAAGGUUUCCAGAGGAAGGCUCGUCCGCUCUGGGUUAGUCGGGUCCUAAGCUGAGGCCGACAGGCGUAGGCGAUGGAUAACAGGUUGAUAUUCCUGUACCACCUAUAAUCGUUUUAAUCGAUGGGGGGACGCAGUAGGAUAGGCGAAGCGUGCGAUUGGAUUGCACGUCUAAGCAGUAAGGCUGAGUAUUAGGCAAAUCCGGUACUCGUUAAGGCUGAGCUGUGAUGGGGAGAAGACAUUGGGUCUUCGAGUCGUUGAUUUCACACUGCCGAGAAAAGCCUCUAGAUAGAAAAUAGGUGCCCGUACCGCAAACCGACACAGGUAGUCAAGAUGAGAAUUCUAAGGUGAGCGAGCGAACUCUCGUUAAGGAACUCGGCAAAAUGACCCCGUAACUUCGGGAGAAGGGGUGCUCUUUAGGGUUAACGCCCAGAAGAGCCGCAGUGAAUAGGCCCAAGCGACUGUUUAUCAAAAACACAGGUCUCUGCUAAACCGUAAGGUGAUGUAUAGGGGCUGACGCCUGCCCGGUGCUGGAAGGUUAAGAGGAGUGGUUAGCUUCUGCGAAGCUACGAAUCGAAGCCCCAGUAAACGGCGGCCGUAACUAUAACGGUCCUAAGGUAGCGAAAUUCCUUGUCGGGUAAGUUCCGACCCGCACGAAAGGCGUAACGAUUUGGGCACUGUCUCAACGAGAGACUCGGUGAAAUCAUAGUACCUGUGAAGAUGCAGGUUACCCGCGACAGGACGGAAAGACCCCGUGGAGCUUUACUGUAGCCUGAUAUUGAAAUUCGGCACAGCUUGUACAGGAUAGGUAGGAGCCUUUGAAACGUGAGCGCUAGCUUACGUGGAGGCGCUGGUGGGAUACUACCCUAGCUGUGUUGGCUUUCUAACCCGCACCACUUAUCGUGGUGGGAGACAGUGUCAGGCGGGCAGUUUGACUGGGGCGGUCGCCUCCUAAAAGGUAACGGAGGCGCUCAAAGGUUCCCUCAGAAUGGUUGGAAAUCAUUCAUAGAGUGUAAAGGCAUAAGGGAGCUUGACUGCGAGACCUACAAGUCGAGCAGGGUCGAAAGACGGACUUAGUGAUCCGGUGGUUCCGCAUGGAAGGGCCAUCGCUCAACGGAUAAAAGCUACCCCGGGGAUAACAGGCUUAUCUCCCCCAAGAGUUCACAUCGACGGGGAGGUUUGGCACCUCGAUGUCGGCUCAUCGCAUCCUGGGGCUGUAGUCGGUCCCAAGGGUUGGGCUGUUCGCCCAUUAAAGCGGUACGCGAGCUGGGUUCAGAACGUCGUGAGACAGUUCGGUCCCUAUCCGUCGUGGGCGUAGGAAAUUUGAGAGGAGCUGUCCUUAGUACGAGAGGACCGGGAUGGACAUACCUCUGGUGUACCAGUUGUCGUGCCAACGGCAUAGCUGGGUAGCUAUGUGUGGACGGGAUAAGUGCUGAAAGCAUCUAAGCAUGAAGCCCCCCUCAAGAUGAGAUUUCCCAACUUCGGUUAUAAGAUC